rnacentral:sRNA from 1 species
AAUGUCUUUAGUCAACUGAGUUAAAUACAUUGCCCAAAGUAAAAGGAUCUCUGGCCACGCAAAUUAUCAAGAUGCAUUAACAUCUUUCCCUUGAUAUCGCCCCGAUUAUUAUGCCUACAAUUAAGAGUAUUCGGCCGCAGUGACCAAAGUGCCUAAUGAAGAUGGAACAUCAGAGUCAAGAAGAUGAAUUGCUAGAGAGCAAAGCAUAAUAAUUUAAUUUAAAUUUCCAGCCUGUGUGCAAAUAAUGUAAAACAUUCCUGCACAUUUUAAGUGCUGCUGCAAAUUGACUGUCAGUCAGGCAAAGCGGCCACAAACAUCAGAAACUGCAGCGACAACUGCAACAACUUUUGAACAACUACAGCAACAGCAAUAAGAGUUACGAAAACAAUAACCACACAAUGACAAUGCAAGGCAAUAUUCGCAUAUUAUACAAACAAUAAACAUUGUUAAUUAAUUUACUUCAACUCGAGCGGCAACUGCACUUUGGCCCACUCUACCGAAAAGGAUGACUUUAAGCUUGUGGAACGCAUGCAAAGUCACAUAAGGAAAUAAUCCCAAUACUUUCAGGGCGGCCUACUGUGAUUAAAAAAAAUGUAAACU